rnacentral:rRNA from 1 species
UACGUAGGGUGCAAGCGUUGUCCGGAAUUAUUGGGCGUAAAGAGCUCGUAGGCGGUUUGUCGCGUCUGCUGUGAAAACUCGGGGCUUAACUCCGGGCCUGCAGUGGGUACGGGCAGACUAGAGUGCGGUAGGGGAGACUGGAAUUCCUGGUGUAGCGGUGAAAUGCGUAGAUAUCAUGAGGAACACCGGUGGCGAAGGCGGUUACCUGGAAGAUUCCUGACUCUGAAACACGAAAGCCAGGGGAGCAAACGGG